GUUCCAGAUGUCAAUGACAUAAAACGCAGCUUGCGCGCCUCCCGCUUUGUGUGUAUUUUCAACAAAAACUAAUCGAAUAGGUAUCGUAUCGCAUCAUUUGCAACUUUGUAUCCAUCUUUUACUAAACUUUCUAUGCACAUUUUUCGAGUAAAAAAGAUGCAAGGGAAGCUAACCUUAAUAUGGACUGUAUUCCCCACUCAUUUUUUGAACUAUUCCUAUCUAAACACUGUUAGUUACCUUUAUGGCUAGGCACAUUUAACUCUCCAAUACGUUAUAAGUUAUAAUACAAUUUCCAAACGUUAACAGAACCACGUAUAGUAUCGAAGAGUUAAAUUAAACUUACGUUCCAGCUGAUCAGCUUGUCAUAAAUGUCACACAGAGUUCAUCCACGAAACUUGUCACAUCACAGUUACGAUCACAAGAAGCGCCAACGUCAGAACAAAGACGUCCUCUUUCGAAACUGUAGAUCCGCGCGGUUCGAUACGUUUAAAGCGAUUCCACGAGACUUUUACUUUUA
rnacentral:lncRNA from 1 species